ACUCCUGCGGGAGGCAGCAGUGGGGAAUUUUGGACAAUGGGCGAAAGCCUGAUCCAGCAAUGCCGCGUGAGUGAAGAAGGCCUUCGGGUUGUAAAGCUCUUUUGUCAGGGAAGAAACGGUGAAAGCUAAUAUCUUUUGCUAAUGACGGUACCUGAAGAAUAAGCACCGGCUAACUACGUGCCAGCAGCCGCGGUAAUACGUAGGGUGCAAGCGUUAAUCGGAAUUACUGGGCGUAAAGCGUGCGCAGGCGGUUUUGUAAGUCUGAUGUGAAAUCCCCGGGCUCAACCUGGGAAUUGCAUUGGAGACUGCAAGGCUGGAAUCUGGCAGAGGGGGGUAGAAUUCCACGUGUAGCAGUGAAAUGCGUAGAUAUGUGGAGGAACACCGAUGGCGAAGGCAGCCCCCUGGGUCAAGAUUGACGCUCAUGCACGAAAGCGUGGGGAGCAAACAGGAUUAGAAACCCGAGUAGUCC
rnacentral:rRNA from 1 species